rnacentral:rRNA from 1 species
UACGUAGGGUGCAAGCGUUAAUCGGAAUUACUGGGCGUAAAGCGUGCGUAGGUGGUGAGUUAAGUCUGUCGUGAAAGCCCCGGGCUCAACCUGGGAAUGGCGAUGGAUACUGGCUCGCUAGAGUGCGGUAGAGGAGAGUGGAAUUCCCGGUGUAGCAGUGAAAUGCGUAGAGAUCGGGAGGAACAUCAGUUGCGAAGGCGGCUCUCUGGACCAGCACUGACACUGAGGCACGAAAGCGUGGGGAGCAAACAGG